rnacentral:tRNA from 1 species
GGGGGGAUAGCCCAGUGGUAAAGCACGUGCUUGGCAUGAACAAGGUCCUGGGUUCAAUUCCCAGUACCUCUA